rnacentral:tRNA from 2 species
GCGGGUGUAACUCAAUGGCAGAGUGCCAGCUUCCCAAGCUGGUUACGUGGGUUCGAUUCCCAUCACCCGCUCCA